rnacentral:ncRNA from 1 species
GUCCUGAGUAUGACAAAAAACUGCUCACUACAAUAACCGGCAUCAACUGAUCAAUGAUGGCUCAACCAGAUAUUGUAGGCAAUUUAAUAUCUACAGCUGCCUUGUGAGCAGGCCGCUGCAAUCCGAAACGGAGCAAUUCCGUCAGGACUGCGGUUCUAUCAUUGCGCCUUUUGCAGCUGUACC